rnacentral:rRNA from 1 species
AAGGGUUUGAUCCUGGCUCAGAUUGAACGCUGGCGGCAGGCCUAACACAUGCAAGUCGAGCGGAUGAAGGGAGCUUGCUCCUGGAUUCAGCGGCGGACGGGUGAGUAAUGCCUAGGAAUCUGCCUGGUAGUGGGGGAUAACGUCCGGAAACGGGCGCUAAUACCGCAUACGUCCUGAGGGAGAAAGUGGGGGAUCUUCGGACCUCACGCUAUCAGAUGAGCCUAGGUCGGAUUAGCUAGUUGGUGGGGUAAAGGCCUACCAAGGCGACGAUCCGUAACUGGUCUGAGAGGAUGAUCAGUCACACUGGAACUGAGACACGGUCCAGACUCCUACGGGAGGCAGCAGUGGGGAAUAUUGGACAAUGGGCGAAAGCCUGAUCCAGCCAUGCCGCGUGUGUGAAGAAGGUCUUCGGAUUGUAAAGCACUUUAAGUUGGGAGGAAGGGCAGUAAGUUAAUACCUUGCUGUUUUGACGUUACCAACAGAAUAAGCACCGGCUAACUUCGUGCCAGCAGCCGCGGUAAUACGAAGGGUGCAAGCGUUAAUCGGAAUUACUGGGCGUAAAGCGCGCGUAGGUGGUUCAGCAAGUUGGAUGUGAAAUCCCCGGGCUCAACCUGGGAACUGCAUCCAAAACUACUGAGCUAGAGUACGGUAGAGGGUGGUGGAAUUUCCUGUGUAGCGGUGAAAUGCGUAGAUAUAGGAAGGAACACCAGUGGCGAAGGCGACCACCUGGACUGAUACUGACACUGAGGUGCGAAAGCGUGGGGAGCAAACAGGAUUAGAUACCCUGGUAGUCCACGCCGUAAACGAUGUCGACUAGCCGUUGGGAUCCUUGAGAUCUUAGUGGCGCAGCUAACGCGAUAAGUCGACCGCCUGGGGAGUACGGCCGCAAGGUUAAAACUCAAAGGAAUUGACGGC